AUGGAAAAGUAUAAUCUGAAACAGCACCCAUACAUGAUGGAGAUAUAUGAGAUCAGGACCAAGUGGGUGAACCCUUAUUUCAAGGGGGUUCUCUGUGCAAGAAUGACAAGCACACAACACAACAAGAGUGCUAAUAAUAUGCUGAAAACGUAUAUGCCUCGUGCCAUUGCAGUGCACAUGUUUGUGAGCCAGUACAUAUGGCUCCAGUUUGACCGUGAACGUGAUGAGAGCUACAAGGAGAAAAGAACAAGGAUUUUAAGUCAGUGUCUUCCCUUCUCUGUCAUUUGA
rnacentral:rRNA from 1 species